AUGCCAUGAUGAGGGCACUUUCGUAAGAACUCCUUGAACCGCUCUCAUUCCUCAUAUAAAGAUUCUUCGUCAAGCUGCUGAAAUGAAAGGAUUUCAUUUCAAAUCUU
rfam:Gossypium arboreum cultivar AKA8401 contig_17655_3, whole genome shotgun sequence.